GAUGAACGCUGACAGAAUGCUUAACACAUGCAAGUCGAUGGGGAAGUGGUGCUUUCCCCAUGGCCACCAUGGCGGACGGGUGAGUAACGCGUAAGGGACUUACCUGCAGGACUGGGAUAACAGGGGGAAACUCCUGACAAGACCGGAUAAUGUCAUGGAGCUGCAUGGCUUUAUGAUGAAAGGAGACGCCUGCGGAGAGCCUUGCGUCCUAUUAGCUAGUUGGUGAGGUAAUGGCUCACCAAGGCGAAGAUAGGUAGCCGGCCUGAGAGGGUGGACGGCCACAAGGGGACUGAGAUACGGCCCUUACUCCUACGGGAGGCAGCAGUGGGGAAUAUUGGACAAUGGGGGCAACCCUGAUCCAGCAAUUCUGUGUGCACGAAGAAGGUUUUCGGAUUGUAAAGUGCUUUCAGCAGGGAAGAAGUAAGUGACGGUACCUGCAGAAGAAGCGACGGCUAAAUACGUG
rnacentral:rRNA from 1 species